AAAAUUUCAAAAACUACCCUGUGGUUUCGUAUUUUCUCACUUUAAUACCAUGUGGUUUAAAGUGUAUCAAUUUGCCCCCUCUGUGGUUUUGUUUUUAUCUUUUCUAUAGCUUUUUUCUUAAUAUUUCGUUAAAUUAUAUACAAAAAACUUCAGAUAUCCAUCUAGAUUUACCAAAUAUUUACUUUAGUACCUUUAAUUUUAAUUUUGUCACUGAUUUAAGAAAAAAAUAAAAUAAAAUUGAUAAAAAAAAGAGAAAAACGAAACCACAAGGGGGCAAAUUGAUACACUUUAAACCACAGGGUACUAAAGUGAGAAAGUA
rnacentral:lncRNA from 1 species